rnacentral:rRNA from 1 species
AGUGAACGCUGGCGGUAGGCCUAACACAUGCAAGUCGAACGGCAGCACAGUAAGAGCUUGCUCUUACGGGUGGCGAGUGGCGGACGGGUGAGGAAUACAUCGGAAUCUACUUUUUCGUGGGGGAUAACGUAGGGAAACUUACGCUAAUACCGCAUACGACCUACGGGUGAAAGCAGGGGAUCUUCGGACCUUGCGCGAUUGAAUGAGCCGAUGUCGGAUUAGCUAGUUGGCGGGGUAAAGGCCCACCAAGGCGACGAUCCGUAGCUGGUCUGAGAGGAUGAUCAGCCACACUGGAACUGAGACACGGUCCAGACUCCUACGGGAGGCAGCAGUGGGGAAGAUUGGACAAUGGGCGCAAGCCUGAUCCAGCCAUACCGCGUGGGUGAAGAAGGCCUUCGGGUUGUAAAGCCCUUUUGUUGGGAAAGAAAAGCAGCAGGUUAAUACCCCGCUGUUCUGACGGUACCCAAAGAAUAAGCACCGGCUAACUUCGU